rnacentral:ribozyme from 11 species
UUUUUUUUUUCUUUUUUUUUUUUUUGGACAAAUUUUGUCUUCCCCCUAAAAUUUUCAAUUCAAGGAUGAGGACCGACGGAUGCUGCAU